rnacentral:rRNA from 1 species
UACGGAGGGUGCAAACGUUUGCUCGGAAUUAUUGGGCGUAAAGCGCACGUAGGCGGCUCCUCAAGUCGGAUGUGAAAGCCCUGGGCUCAACUCAGGAAGUGCAUCCGAAACUGUGGAGCUUGAAUGCCGGAGGGGCCCAGAGAAUUCCCGGUGUAGAGGUGAAAUUCGUAGAUAUCGGGAGGAAUACCAGUGGCGAAGGCGCUGGGCUGGACGGUCAUUGACGCUGAGGUGCGAAAGCGUGGGGAGCAAACAGGG